rnacentral:rRNA from 1 species
GAUGAACGCUGGCGGCGUGCCUAAUACAUGCAAGUCGAGCGAACAGAUAAGGAGCUUGCUCCUUUGACGUUAGCGGCGGACGGGUGAGUAACACGUGGAUAACCUACCUAUAAGACUGGGAUAACUUCGGGAAACCGGAGCUAAUACCGGAUAACAUAUUUAACCGCAUGGUUCAAUAGUGAAAGGCGGCUUUGCUGUCACUUAUAGAUGGAUCCGCGCCGUAUUAGCUAGUUGGUAAGGUAACGGCUUACCAAGGCAACGAUACGUAGCCGACCUGAGAGGGUGAUCGGCCACACUGGAACUGAGACACGGUCCAGACUCCUACGGGAGGCAGCAGUAGGGAAUCUUCCGCAAUGGGCGAAAGCCUGACGGAGCAACGCCGCGUGAGUGAUGAAGGUCUUCGGAUCGUAAAACUCUGUUAUCAGGGAAGAACAAAUGUGUAAGUAACUGUGCACAUCUUGACGGUACCUGAUCAGAAAGCCACGGCUAACUACGUG